UUUGCAAGUUUUGCACUCUAACCCUUGUGGUUUUACCUAUUAUUGAAUAGGCCAAAACUUGUUUUGCAGUUAAUUCUAGCAGUGAUUUUAUUCCUGUUAUAUACCGUUAAAUCUGGUACAUAUAUUACAGAACCAUUUUUUCUGUUAAGUACCAAUGUAUUUCAGAUCUUAAGUUGGUGUGAUAUAUUUUCACGUUUAUCACGUGUUGAGAUUAA
rnacentral:lncRNA from 1 species